UCUAAUAUGGCAGAGUAGUGCAAUGAAUUUAAGCUUCAUAUAUAAAGUUGUUUUCUUUUAUUAGAA
rnacentral:tRNA from 1 species